rnacentral:rRNA from 1 species
UACGAAGGGGGCUAGCGUUGUUCGGAUUUACUGGGCGUAAAGCGCACGUAGGCGGUUUGGUCAGUUAGGGGUGAAAUCCCAGAGCUCAACUCUGGAACUGCCUUUAAUACUGCCAGUCUCGAGUCCGGAAGAGGUAAGUGGAACUCCUAGUGUAGAGGUGGAAUUCGUAGAUAUUAGGAAGAACACCAGUGGCGAAGGCGGCUUACUGGUCCGGUACUGACGCUGAGGUGCGAAAGCGUGGGGAGCAAACAGG